CUUCAUUUGUUAUAUUAAUGAAAAGCCACUUUAAAUCAAGUUUCCUGUUGAUAUUUCAUUAUGUAUGCUGUUCUUACACAUCUCUAAAGGAGAUUUACGUUACAGGUAGUAACCACAAAUACCGGCCAUGGACAUGCUGUUAAUUUAAAAUGUAAAGUUUUCUUUUGAGGCGCAGCAGACAUAUAGGGUCUCUCUCUUCGCCAGGGCCGCUCACUUCCCUGUGAAAAUGACCCACAGCUGUCGCCCCAUCCGGAGGCCCAACCUACAGGCAGGGAUCUGACGUUCACACCCAGGUUCACGGAAGACAGAGCUCAGCACGGGGCCAGAGCAUAAUGUGCAGGGACUGGCCCCGCUCCCGACAACAUGGGCAGCCUUGACGGUGGCGCUGGCCUUGCCCUCGGCUGUCGCUGAACGUUUCCAGGUGCCAGCACUGCACCAGGCAGGUCAGCCCUAUGCCACCAGAUGGAGCCCACCCCACCUCGCCAAGAUGUAGAUGGUCCACCCCGACCCCGUAUGGCGGAGGAGAAAGCCGACACGCAGGGCUAAUGGACUGUGGAGUUAAGAUCUGAAGCCAGGCCCGGGGCCCCUGACCACCGUGUCCAACCGAGAGAAGCUCUGCUGGAGACAGGCUUCUAGCCCCUGUGUUGUUGGGGUGUUGCGAGGUAAACCUGGCUUAGUAGCUGAAGAAGACGGCGAUCAGCAUGGUCCCGUGCACGGAGGGUCAGCGCUGGGCACUGACUUUGAGCCGGCAGAGGGUGAGGGAGGCAACAGCUGGGAUGACUGGGGCACAACCAGUGGUCUGGCCACGCUUCCUCUGGUGGCCUUCAGGGCCUUACAAACACCGACAGACGUUACCUCCAGGACCCUCACGAGGACCCUCUGCGUCAAGCUGUCAUCGUCACUCCUGUUUUACAGACUUGGACAGAGCAAGUGGAUUUGGAGCUGAAAGGCGGCAGGGGGGUGACAGGAGGUCUUCCAGGCCACACGGCUUGGGCUCAGGCCCUCGCCUGGCAGCCCGGGACACUCUGGCUCCAGAGGGGGUGGGGACACAGCACCAAUCCCCCCCUACCCCUCACUGCCCACCCCCAGUGGUGGCAUGGGGCAAACACGGUGCCCUGCAGACACUCUUGUAGUGGCCCUGGAUGAAAGAACAGCUCCAAAUAAAAACGGCAGACAAGCUGCAAAAUGGAAUUAUUUCCUGCCGUAUCAGUAAACAGGGAUGUCACACUCAUCAGCGAUUGCAGCCACCAAACAUGGCGAGCUGGUGAGCUGGAGGAAACUCAAGAAGGACAGCACCUGUCAUCGAGUGGCCACCAGCCCACAGGCACUCCCGAGGGUGAGCCCUGAGGAAACUCAGGGCGUGAGCACAAAGGACACUGGCCCCGGAUUGCUGCGGUGCCUGUCAAGGGAACGAUUUCCGUGAGCCCAGACACCUCCCCAUACGUAGAUAAGUGCUGAAUUCCUUAACCUGAGACAUUAAAGAAAACUUCUGACGUUCGGACUACCUGCCCUCUGUUGCAAAAUAUAUAACCUGGCUCUUCCCCUCACCUCCUCAAACCAGUUCUCGCAAUAUUACUUGAGAUGCUGCCUUCUGGGCUUAAGUCCUAAAAACGUUCCACCAAAUCAAACAUAACUCUCAGUUUUUAGGUUCGAGUAUUUUCUGAGUCGACAAAGUGAAUGUUUGCUGGUGCAGACCUCUGACUCCUUUGCCCUGAGACCUUGGUCUGGCUCCCCCACGGCUGGAAGGCACCUAGAGAACAAUGAUGCUCUUCUCUGAGAGGCCCACAGCCUGUCCAGCCUCGUUCUGGGCCCCUGGCCAGCUCCUACCUGUGGUCUCUGACGGCUGAACCCUGGCCCACACCCCCGGGGCUGCCUCCUGUCUUGUCCUGAGACACCGUCCCCAACGCCCCGUCCUGGGAGAGGCUCUCCGGGUCCAGCCAGACUCCUCCUUGACGCCCCCACCCCCAGCCCUAUCUCACUCCACCUUCUUCAGCUCUCUCCUCAGGACACUGUGAGUCCUCCCAAGCCAGGGGCCCUCUUGGUCCCCUGUCCCUCACG
ensembl:lncRNA